rnacentral:sRNA from 1 species
GCUAGCUGUGGUGGCGCACACCUGUAAUCCCAGUGGCUCUGGAGGCUGAGACAGGAGGAUCGAGAGUUCAAAGCCAGCCUCAGCCAAGUGAGGCCCUAAGCAACUCAGGGAGACCCUGUCUCUA